UACAGAGACCUCGAGCGUUAUCCGGUUUCACUGGGCGUAAAGCGUUCCGAAGGUUGUCAAAUGUGUCUAAAGUGAAAGACUGGAGCUCAACUCCACGUUUGCUUUGGAAACUGUUUGACUUGAAGAACAAAGAGGUGGCUGAAACUCUGCAAGUAGGGGUGAAAUCCGUUGAUAUGCAGGGGAACACCAAAAGCGAAAGCAGGCCACUGGUUGUUUCUUGACAUUGCUAGGACGAAAGCGUGGGGAGAGAACGGG
rnacentral:rRNA from 1 species